GGGAAUCUACCGUGCCCUGCGGAAUAGCUCCGGGAAACUGGAAUUAAUACCGCAUACGCCCUACGGGGGAAAGAUUUAUCGGGGUAUGAUGAGCCCGCGUUGGAUUAGCUAGUUGGUGGGGUAAAGGCCUACCAAGGCGACGAUCCAUAGCUGGUCUGAGAGGAUGAUCAGCCACAUUGGGACUGAGACACGGCCCAAACUCCUACGGGAGGCAGCAGUGGGGAAUAUUGGACAAUGGGCGCAAGCCUGAUCCAGCCAUGCCGCGUGAGUGAUGAAGGCCUUAGGGUUGUAAAGCUCUUUCACCGGUGAAGAUAAUGACGGUAACCGGAGAAGAAGCCCCGGCUAACUUCGUGCCAGCAGCCGCGGUAAUACGAAGGGGGCUAGCGUUGUUCGGAAUUACUGGGCGUAAAGCGCACGUAGGCGGAUAUUUAAGUCAGGGGUGAAAUCCCAGAGCUCAACUCUGGAACUGCCUUUGAUACUGGGUAUCUUGAGUAUGGAAAAGGUAAGUGGAAUUGCGAGU
rnacentral:rRNA from 1 species